UGGGGAAUACUGCACAAUGGGCGCAAGCCUGAUGCAGCCAUGCCGCGUGUGUGAAGAAGGCCUUCGGGUUGUAAAGCACUUUCAGCGAGGAGGAAGGUGGUGAACUUAAUACGUUCAUCAAUUGACGUUACUCGCAGAAGAAGCACCGGCUAACUCCGUGCCAGCAGCCGCGGUAAUACGGAGGGUGCAAGCGUUAAUCGGAAUUACUGGGCGUAAAGCGCACGCAGGCGGUUUGUUAAGUCAGAUGUGAAAUCCCCGGGCUCAACCUGGGAACUGCAUUUGAAACUGGCAAGCUAGAGUCUCGUAGAGGGGGGUAGAAUUCCAGGUGUAGCGGUGAAAUGCGUAGAGAUCUGGAGGAAUACCGGUGGCGAAGGCGGCCCCCUGGACGAAGACUGACGCUCAGGUGCGAAAGCGUGGGGAGCAAACAGAUUAGAUACCCUGGUAGUCACGCUGUAAACGAUGUCGAUUUUGGAGGUUGUGCCCCUUGAGGCGUGGNUUCCGGAGCUAACGNGUUAAAUCGACCGCCNGGGG
rnacentral:rRNA from 1 species